rnacentral:rRNA from 1 species
AUGCUUAUAGGAAUGGGAAGAACAUGUGUGUUUGUUCAUCAUGGGGACAAAGACGCAUUCUUGAAAGGCAAUACUGAACCGGACCCGGAUGAGCUUGACAUGGUGUUUGAUAGUAGUCCUAGCUAUGCGGAGCUCUUGCAACAAGUGAGGAAAGAUUUGAAUUGGAUGGACCCUAGUGAUAUCGUUGAGUUGGAGGGAAGGCAUAAUGUAGGUUUUGGAAUGCACAUCCGUUGGAAGACAAUGCGUGUCAACUCGGAGCAACGUUGGGUUGCAUACAAGGAAACGGUGGCCGAAUCACUUGACAAGGCUCUUGAGUUAUUUGCAACGAAGAAGGUUGAUUCAAGUUUGCAUUUGGACUUGAACCGGAACCCCUCCCCUUUGGUUGAUAGUAGCCCCCCACCCUUGAAGCGAGAUGAAAUUGUUGAACCUCUUUUGACCCAAGAAGUGGGGCCAACAUUGAGUCUGUUUACAAACAACCAAGAUGAAGCUUUGCAAGAGGACAAUGAUGAGUAUGCGGACGAUGACAAUGAAGUUGAUCUCCAUGACAACAAUGUGGGUGAUCUCGACAAAUAUCAUUUGCAAGAGACAAUGGACCAUUCCAUCCCUUUUCCCGUGCAUAUGCAUCGGACUCGGAUGACGAUGGUCCCGAUGAAUAAGUUGAUGCGGAGGGGUUCACGGUGA